rnacentral:rRNA from 1 species
GAUGAACGCUGGCGGCGUGCCUAAUACAUGCAAGUCGAGCGAACAGAUGAGGAGUUUGCUCCUCUGACGUUAGCGGCGGACGGGUGAGUAACACGUGGAUAACCUACCUAUACGACUGGGAUAACUUCGGGAAACCGGAGCUAAUACCGGCUAAUAUAUUUAACCGCAUGGUUCAAUAGUGAAAGACGGUUUUGCUGUCACUUAUAGAUGGAUCGGCGCCGCAUUAGCUAAGUGGGAAGGUAACGGCUUACCAAGGCAAGGAUGCGUAGCCGACCGGAGAGGGGGAUCAGCCACACUGGACCUGAGCCACGGUCCAGACUCCUACGGUAGGCAGCAGAAGGGUGUGGAAUGUUAGGGGAGAAGGGCUGACGGGGCAAAGCCGAGUGGGGUACAAAGGGCCGCGGAUCUGAAUACUCUGUUGUUAGGGAGGAAGAAAUGUGUAAGUAACUAGUCACGUCUUGAAGGUACCGAAUGAAAAAGCCACGGCUAACUACGUG